rnacentral:rRNA from 3 species
GCAUAUCAAUAAGCGGAGGAAAAGAAACCAACAGGGAUUGCCCUAGUAACGGCGAGUGAAGCGGCAACAGCUCAAAUUUGAAAUCUGGCCUCGGCCCGAGUUGUAAUUUGUAGAGGAUGCUUUAGGCGCGGCUCCUUCUGAGUGCCCUGGAACGGGACGCCACAGAGGGUGAGAGCCCCGUAUAGUUGGAAGCCUAGCCUGUGUAAAGCUCCUUCGACGAGUCGAGUAGUUUGGGAAUGCUGCUCAAAAUGGGAGGUAAAUUUCUUCUAAAGCUAAAUACCGGCCAGAGACCGAUAGCGCACAAGUAGAGUGAUCGAAAGAUGAAAAGCACUUUGAAAAGAGGGUUAAAUAGCACGUGAAAUUGUUGAAAGGGAAGCGCUUGUGACCAGACUUGCGCCGGGCUGAUCAUCCGGAGUUCUCUCCGGUGCACUCUGCCCGGCUCAGGCCAGCAUCGGUUCUCGCGGGGGGAUAAAGGCCUCGGGAACGUAGCUCCUCCGGGAGUGUUAUAGCCCGGGGCGUAAUGCCCUCGCGGGGACCGAGGUUCGCGCAUCUGCAAGGAUG